CAGAAUAUCAAAAGUAAUAAAGCCUCUGGUCUUAGCUGCAAAGAUACAUUCCACCUAAGGUAAACUAGACAGCACUCAACGAAUGGCAUGCAAGCUAACAGGAGAUCUAAGCACCAUCCCAAUCAACAUACAGAUUGAGUUGUGAAGACAUUCAAGAUGAAGUCUUCCACAAGUUGAUCAGAAGAAGACUUUAGUCAAAGUGUAACGCCCCGAAAUCCGGUCUAUCUUCACACCCGGAUUAUGUAUGUCACGAGUACAUCAUUCAUCCAAACAGACAUCGUUAUAUAUUGAAAUAUAACAACAUACAUUCUAAAUUCCUAGGUUCUAAAACCUUAUAACUCCUUUCAUUAAAAAUAAUGAUAAUAC
rnacentral:lncRNA from 1 species